AUCAGUCUUUGGGCCCAAUAAAGGAGUUCAGAUUCUCUCUCCUCAAGGAUCCUGUUUCAUUUUCUCUUGCAACGCGUUAGGGCAGCCGUUGUAGAUCCAACGGCUAAAAAAAAAAAAUUAAAAAUAUUGAAAUUCAAUAAAUUUCCCGCCCCCUGCUAUACCUACACAGGUGACACAUUCACUCACUCUCACUCAGCCUCACUCUUCUCCACCAAACCCACCCUCACCGGCGACCAUUCCUAAUGGCCACAUGCUCAUGACGGCAACCCACGUCUAAACCCAACCCACCACUCCAGCCCUAAUAUUCUAUGCUUCGUGAACCAUAGCUUGGACGCGACCACCAUCGGUUGGAGCGAAGAAAUUUGUGGAUAAGAACGUGGGUUCUCAGGCCAAAGUUGAACCAAGUUUGUCUUCGAAACGCUGAAGUUAAAAAGUUAGGGUUGUGAUUGAGAUUGAGAAAAUAGAUUUAAAAUUUCAAAAUUAGGGCUUUGAUUUAGGAUUCCAACAGGAAAAAAUUAGGGCUUUCAUUUGGGUGUUAUCUUCUUCUGUUUCUUCUUUUUUUCCAUCUCUCUUACAUGGUUUAAUACUUCUUCAGGUUUGUUUUGUUUAUUCUAUUUUGUGGGUGUGUUGUUGUGUGUUUGCAGGGUCAUUCCAUGUUUGAUAAAUCAGUAUCCAUAAACCUAUGUAAUUAGUUUGAAUGAGUUGACUAACACUGCCCAUUAAAUUCGUGGAUGAAGAUGAUAAAGACGUUAUGUCCACAAUCCGUUCCAACACUAGAGCUUGUGAUGGUAUAACAGUAAAAGACUUUAACAAGCUAAGGAUGAGGAUUAAUGACAUGGAAAAUAAGAAUGAUGACUAUAGUCGAAGGCUUGAAAGGCUGGAAAAUAAUUUGAAGGCGAUGGUAUAUUUUAUUGUAUUUUCUAUCGUUUUAUACUUUAUGAUGUAACUUAUUCAUUGGUUGGCUUUGGGAAAAUGUUACGAAUGUUAUUAUGGAUUUUGUGAAACUGAACGGAUGUAUUGUUGGCAUUUGUAGCAUUUUGCCUUUGUGUUUAUGGAAUGAAUUUUAAAUGGUUUU